UAACGAAUCUUCGUCAAUGCACGAAAGUGUGAACGAGCGACGCCGCGUGGAGGAUGAAGUCCUUCGGGAUGUAAACUCCUGUCAGGGGAAAGAAAGUUCUGAUCUACCCCAGAGGAAGUGGCGGCUAACUCUGUGCCAGCAGCCGCGGUAAGACAGAGGCCACAAGCGUUAGGCGGAAUCACUGGGCUUAAAGCGUGUGUAGGCGGAUGGCUAAGUGCCUUGUGAAAUCCCCCGGCUCAACCGGGGAAUGGCUUGGCAUACUGGUCGUCUUGAGCCACCUAGGGGCAACUGGAACGAACGGUGGAGCGGUGAAAUGCGUAGAUAUCGUUCGGAACGCCAACGGUGAAAACAGGUUGCUGGGGGUGUGCUGACGCUGAGACACGAAAGCCAGGGGAGCAAACG
rnacentral:rRNA from 1 species